UAAAAAAUCAUUAUCAUCAUUAUAAAACAGUUUCUCGUGUAUUAGGGUAUAUUUUUAGAAAGUUUGUGAAAUGAUGAAGCUUUAGAUCAUAAUAAAGCCAUACUUGGAUGAUUUUCUGUUUUCCUAAAAGGAAGGGGUUUAAGAAGAUCCCUUUUGUUUCUCGAGCUGCUUGGCAGAAGUAUAUGCUCUUUGGCGUUCCCAUAGGACAAAUUUGAUAGCUGCCAUGGUUUUAUUGACUGCAAGUACACGCUCAUUUGAGGCUUUGGGAAUAGUCAACUGUAAGCGUUUCAUUUCAGCCCUUUGUGUGAACAAUAGGUUCUUCUCUCGGAGACAAUUGUACCAAAGUCCAUGUAGAUCAUUAAAAGACUUCCAACGAAGCUCUUCUGCAGCCCAUGCUCUACCGAAUUUAGCCUCUUCCGAUGGUGGUGGAAGGGCUUGCUUGUCCCGAAAGAAAUUCCACAAAGGGUGCGUGUCUGAAACCUUAGGAGCACUUUUUACUUUUGGAACAGGAAAUACAAAGCCCUUUGGAAUACGUACGGCUGCUUUCUGAGCGCUAGCCAACGUGGACCUCAUCUUUGGUGGUAAGUAGAAGGUGCGCUGUAACACCCUGACAUUGACCGAUAAUAAUGGUUGUAAGUCAUACUUUAAAAAUAAUUAUUUUUUAUUAUACUUCAUUGACUUUCUUAAUUAUUGCUAAAUUGAGA